UACGGAGGGUGCGAGCGUUGUUCGGAAUUACUGGGCGUAAAGCGCGUGUAGGCGGCCUCUUCAGUCUGGUGUGAAAGCCCGGGGCUCAACCCCGGAAGUGCAUUGGAUACUGGGAGGCUGGAGUACCGGAGAGGAGGGUGGAAUUCCUGGUGUAGCGGUGAAAUGCGUAGAUAUCGUGAGGAACACCAGAGGCGAAGGCGGCUUCCUGGACAAUUGCUGACGCUCAGGCACGAAAGCGUGGGGAGCAAAAGGG
rnacentral:rRNA from 1 species